rnacentral:rRNA from 1 species
UCUUUAUCACCGAGUGCUUGCACUCACCGGUAAAGGGUUGAGUGGCGAACGGGUGAGUAACACGUGGGCAACCUGCCCAAAAGAGGGGGAUAACACUUGGAAACAGGUGCUAAUACCGCAUAACCAUAGUUACCGCAUGGUAGCUAUGUAAAAGGUGGCUAUGCUACCGCUUUUGGAUGGGCCCGCGGCGCAUUAGCUAGUUGGUGGGGUAAAGGCUUACCAAGGCAAUGAUGCGUAGCCGAACUGAGAGGUUGAUCGGCCACAUUGGGACUGAGACACGGCCCAAACUCCUACGGGAGGCAGCAGUAGGGAAUCUUCCACAAUGGGCGAAAGCCUGAUGGAGCAACGCCGCGUGGGUGAAGAAGGUCUUCGGAUCGUAAAACCCUGUUGUUAGAGAAGAAAGUGCGUGAGAGUAACUGUUCACGUUUCGACGGUAUCUAACCAGAAAGCCACGGCUAACUACGUGCCAGCAGCCGCGGUAAUACGUAGGUGGCAAGCGUUAUCCGGAUUUAUUGGGCGUAAAGGGAACGCAGGCGGUCUUUUAAGUCUGAUGUGAAAGCCUUCGGCUUAACCGGAGUAGUGCAUUGGAAACUGGGAGACUUGAGUGCAGAAGAGGAGAGUGGAACUCCAUGUGUAGCGGUGAAAUGCGUAGAUAUAUGGAAGAACACCAGUGGCGAAAGCGGCUCUCUGGUCUGUAACUGACGCUGAGGUUCGAAAGCGUGGGUAGCAAACAGGAUUAGAUACCCUGGUAGUCCACGCCGUAAACG